rnacentral:lncRNA from 1 species
ACUGGUGAAUCUUCCUGGUAAGACUUUACAUUUAAAAUGUAUGGAUAUAAUGUGUUAUUUUGCAUGAGUUUUAGCCCCUUUUGUAUGAAUAUGAAGUGCAUGAAUUGAAAGAUUAUAAUUUAGAUUUUCACAAGUUUUCUUCUCUAUAUGUAGAGAGAAAGAGUAGGUACGUCUUUUACAUGGAAAUAAAACCCUGUUUAGAAUAGAACCUGAAGUAUCCCUUAUAGUAUAUACAAAAGAUGACAGUAGUUUCUUUAUUGUAGAUAAACGCUUUUACGUGGUACACAGUUUUUGAUUAUUCUUAGUUCUGAUGCUACCAACAUUUAUCCUAGUAUCAAGUUUUGCAGUUAAUGGGUUUAUGUUUUUUUAUUUUUUUGUUAUGGACCCACAAUCUCGCCAACAUAUAAUAAUCAAUGUGCAUUUUUCAAAUUGCAGAUAGAAGAACUUUGGGUAUUUAGCUUGUCGAUUGAAGGGUUUUGGAUGACUAGCUAUUAGAUGGAAGACUUUUGAAGAUCACAGGAUUAUUUUUUUUUUUUUUUUUUCUUUUUUUGGUAAACAUGUAUUCCAAACAAUAUGGAUUUUUUAAGUAUUAUUAGUUUAUGUUGAUACAUUUUGAUUAGCAAUUAUUAGAAGUUUUGGUACCUAUUUUAUAAUUAAAUGGAUGUUAUAAUUUAAGGAAUAUUAUAUUUCAUGAAUUGCUU